UCUCCUGCAUUGUGGAAUUUGUUGUCUGU
rnacentral:piRNA from 1 species